UACGUAGGGCGCAAGCGUUAUCCGGAAUUAUUGGGCGUAAAGAGCUCGUAGGCGGUUUGUCGCGUCUGCCGGUGAAAAGUCCGGGGCUCAACCCCGGAUCUGCGGUGGGUACGGGCAGACUUGAGUGCAGUAGGGGAGACUGGAAUUCCUGGUGUAGCGGUGAAAUGCGCAGAUAUCAGGAGGAACACCGAUGGCGAAGGCAGGUCUCUGGGCCACUACUGACGCUGAGACGCGAAAGCGUGGGGAGCAAACAGG
rnacentral:rRNA from 1 species